AAACACCCGGUAGAAUAUUUCAUCGAAGCAUCGGAGAGUUUAAUUUUGGAAAUUCCUAGCAUUUUUCCUAAUAAUAAAAUAACGGACGAAAACCCGAAAAAUCGCUUUGUUUUAUAUUGUAUUGUAAGAAAUAAUCGUAUUUUUGUUUUGUUUUAUUUCUAUGUGUAUACAGUAGUUAGUCCGCCGAAUAUACAUGGGCGGUCGCCCUGGGAAAAAAAAAUUAAAAAUUUCUCUACGCUCGCUGAUCACGGCGUCAGAUUUUUAAUCGCCGCGCUCGGAAAAUUGUUUCGAUUCGACACUGCCACGGCCGACCGAAAAUCUCGGGCCGCUGUCGCCGGGCUUUAGAGUUAAGACCCGCGAAAUUCGCGACCGUACACGAAAUUCGACUCUCCGAUUAAAAUCAAUUCGCGCAUUUUAAAAUUAUUAAAAAAAUGAUUAUUGGUACAGCGUGAAUAUAAGUAAUAUUGUGACGUGCGUAUAUUAUAUUAUAUGCAUUUGCCACGCCGUAACCCGCGCUAUUCGUGCCGUGUACUUAGUCGUUUCGGUUCGGCCAAUAAAUAUUAUUAUUGUCAUUAUUUUUUUAUUAUAUUAUAAUCGCACCGUGCUGCGAAAAUAUAUCGCAAUGAUUGUUAUUAUCGCUGCAGUUGUAGGGGCACUCAAUAAAACUCAUCAAAGUAAACCGCUUGAAAACCACACGAUAUCACCUCACUCGAAUAAAAAAACUUUAAAAAUGUAAAAAUAAAAACAAAAAAGGAUGGACAUACGUGGGUGCAGCCACUUUUGUAGAUAGGAAGUUGGAAAGAUAUGGCACAGAUGAAAAUUUAAUGUAAGCAAUGAUAAACCAUUACUAACGAAAAAUCGAUUCUGAGCGGAGUUCAGUUGAUAGUAUUACUUUGUCAAAAAUAGUUUUAUGUCAUAUUAUGGUCAAAUGGUUACAACAAUGUGCGUUUCCAUGAUAACAAUGAUUGUUUAAAAAAGAUUUAAAAUAAUAAAAACUUAAUAGUAACAAAAAAUAAAUAAAAGGGGUUGCCAAUAAAAACCUUAUUUUUAAUCUUUUAAUCUAAAGAACCAGGUUUCCUCAUUAUUUCGAAUACUAAUGAGAAUUUCAUAAAAUGAUCUCUUUAAAGUACCAUCCAAAGAACAUUUCCUUUUAGAAAAGGUGCCAUAUUUGAUAAUCAGAGUAUACUUUCUGGUAGAAAAGGUGUUUACAUACAAAAAAAAAAUAAACA